AAAAUCCAAAACCAAAUUCCACGGCCAUGAAGUCCAUGUUGAAAAUUAUAUCCACCAAUAGAAAAACCUAUUUAUUCCCCUUUCUCUGGCCUUCAAUCGCUGUUCCUUCCUCUUCUCCUGGGUAGCUGAGAGAAACAUCCACCGUUGACCCACAAAAGGUCUAAUGCUUCUCUUGCCAAUUCAAUCGCACCAACCACAACGUCAUUACGCCAAUCUCUCUGAUUUCUUUCAAUCUUCCUUGUCUGCAAGUCAUCAGGUACAUUGUUCCAUUGCAUCUGAGAUCUACCCAUCGUAUAAAGAUUCAAUUUUUUUUCUUCUUCUUGUACACAAAUGGAUAGUAAUUACACACCUAUAUCCAAGAAAAACCACGUUGAAUUGCAAUUGCUAGAUGAUCCCAGUAAUUUAACAUCCCGUUCAGAAACCCACCUCAAAUCGGUCCAUUUUUAUGAGGAAAGUCGUCUAGAUCACAAGAAAGAGAAAGAGGGUAGUCGUCUUCUUGAUGGCGAUGAUGAUGGGGAUCUAGAAAAUUAUAUUUUUCCUCUCGUUAGUGAUAAACCCAAUAAAGGGUCUGGUGUAUCUGGCGCAGUUUUUAAUCUCACCACAUCAGUUAUUGGUGCCGGGAUCAUGGCCCUGCCUGCCACAAUGAAAGUUCUUGGGGUUGUUCUUGGGCUUAUACUAAUAGUCUUGAUUGGGAUUUUGUCAGAAAUCAGUGUGGAAUUGUUAGUUAGGUAUUCGGUUCUUUCGAAGUCAGCAACCUAUGGUGAAGUUGUAGAGCGUGCCUUGGGAAGGCAAGCGAGGGUUUUGUCUGAGAUUUGCAUAAUUGUGAACAAUGCAGGUGUUUUGGUUGUGUAUUUGAUAAUAAUGGGUGAUGUUAUGUCUGGUUCUCUUCAUCACACUGGGGUUUUUGACCAGUGGUUGGGGCAUGGUUUCUGGGAUCAUAGGAAGAUUUUGAUUUUGGUUGUGCUUGUGAUCUUUCUUGCACCACUCUGUGCAUUGGAGAAGAUUGAUUCUUUGAGCUUGACUUCGGCUGUUUCUGUGGUUCUUGCAGUAGUGUUCGUCAUUGUCUGUUUCGUUGUAGCGUUGAUUAAGUUUGUUGAAGGGAAGAGUGAAUUCCCAAGGCUGAGUCCGGAUUUUGGGUCGAAGAAAGCAAUUUUGGAUUUGCUUGUUGUGAUCCCAAUAAUGUCAAAUGCUUAUGUUUGCCAUUUUAAUGUUCAACCUAUAUACAAUGAGCUUCAAGGGCGGUCGCCCCAGAAAAUGAACCAGGUGGGAAGGACCACAACCAUUCUUUGUGUAUUGGUUUAUGCAUCAACAGCUGUAUCUGGUUAUCUGCUUUUUGGGAAGGAUACUGAGUCUGAUGUGCUGACCAAUUUUGACAAAGACCUUGGAAUUCGUUUCAGCUCUGCUCUGAAUAAUAUUGUUCGGGUGGGAUACAUUCUUCAUUUAAUUCUCGUCUUUCCUGUAAUUCAUUUCUCCUUGAGGCAAACAGUGAAUGCUCUAGUAUUUGAGGGCUCAGCUCCACUCGAGGAAAGUAAGAAAAGGUCUCUGGCCUUAACAACAGUUUUGUUGGGACUUAUUUAUUUUGGAUCCACUAUGAUUCCCAACAUUUGGACAGCCUUCAAGUUUACAGGAGCCACAACAGCUGUGUCGUUGGGUUUUAUAUUCCCAUCACUUAUUGCAUUAAGGUUGAGUCGACAAGGAGGAGCUUUAAGCCUUGUAGAGAGGUACUUGUCAUGGCUGAUGUUGGUAUUGGCAGUUGUGGUUGGCAUUGUUGGGGUGAUUGGUAACAUUUACAGCAUCAAAGACCAAUCUGAAUGAUUCCUUUGCUAAUGAUGUAGAGGUUGGCUUUGCUAGAUAAAGACCUUACAUAGCGAUGCAAUUUGAGAUUUAUUGAUUUUUAUGCCUACCAAUGCCAUCUGACAGAAGACGCGUAGAUAAAAAUAGAUGAUGUGUAGAACAUUGUUCCAAACUGGAAAUUGUGCAUGGCAGCGCGCAGAUGAAAGGCUUGAAAAGAUUUUGUGGGUCUGAUUAUGUUGUGGAUACAGUGCAAUCUAUAAUCUCUAGAGCGACAGCAGCAAGUCGGCUUUGCAACUGAAAAUGCUUGGAGAGAAGAGAACUUUGCUAACUUGGCACCCAAUUUCGCAUGAAUAGGCCUAUUAAACAAUCUGAUCUUCCUUCAUGGCUUGGAAUGCUUUCCAUACUUGAGGCACAUUGAAGAUUUUCUCUCUCUGAAAGUACCAAGUCCAUUUGACAUUGGAUUUUUUAUUGCUAUCUGAUGUUGAAAGAACAUAUGUAGUUAUUAUAAAAUUCGACUAUUUGAGUAUAACAUCAUCUUCUAAUC